rnacentral:rRNA from 1 species
UGAGGAAUAUUGGGCAAUGGGCGAAAGCCUGACCCAGCCACGCCGCGUGAGUGAUGAAGGCCUUCGGGUUGUAAAGCUCUGUGGGGAGGGAAGCGGUACCUCCUUAGCAAGCACCGGCUAACUCUGUGCCAGCAGCCGCGGUAAUACAGAGGGUGCAAACGUUGCUCGGAAUUACUGGGCGUAAAGCGCGUGUAGGCUGACAGCAAGUCGGUGUGAAAUCCCAGGGCUCAACCUUGGAACUGCACUGAAACUCACGUCUUGAGUACUGGAGAGGGAAGCGGAAUUCCGGGUGUAGAGGUGAAAUUCGUAGAUAUCCGGAGGAACACCAGUGGCGAAGGCGGCUUCCUGGACAGAACUGACGCUGAGAUGCGAAAGCGUGGGGAGCAAACAGGAUUAGAUACCCCAGUAGU